rnacentral:rRNA from 1 species
CACGUAGUUAGCCGUGGCUUUCUAAUGAGGUACCGUCAAGGUACAAGCAGUUACUCUUGUACUUGUUCUUCCCUCAUAACAGAGCUUUACGAUCCGAAAACCUUCUUCGCUCACGCGGCAUUGCACCAUCAGACUUUCGUCCAUUGUGGAUGAUUCCCUACUGCUGCCUCUCGUAGGAGUCUGGGCCGUGUCUCAGUCCCAGUGUGGCCGAUCACCCUCUCAGGUCGGCUACGCAUCGUCGCCUUGGUAAGCCGUUACCUUACCAACUAGCUAAUGCGCCGCGGGCCCAUCCCGUAGCGACAGCCGAAGCCGUCUUUCAGAAUCCUUUCAUGAGAAAGAAUUAAUCAUUCGGUAUUAGCCCCGGUUUCCCGGAGUUAUCCCCAACUACAGGGCAGGUUGCCCACGUGUUACUCACCCAUUCGCCGCUAACGUCAGAGGAGCAAGCUCCUCAUCCGUUCGCUCGACUUGCAUGUAUUAGGCAUGCCGCCAGCGUUCGU